rnacentral:rRNA from 1 species
CCUGGUGGUUAUGGCGGGGUCCUUAACACCCGUUCCCAUUCCGAACACGGCCGUGAAAUGCCCCAGCGCUGAUGGUACUUUGUCUUAAGGCACGGGAGAGUAAGUCGCUGCCAGGUCUGCCAAAUGCAGCAUCGUUUAUGUGUUCACGCCAAUGUGGCCUUCGGCCACGCUGCAAACAGCGCGCCAAACUGUCGGCGACGCGCGCUCGCGCUGAGCAAAGAAUAUCUUCUCAAAACAAUCAAACGGCGACUGCCGAUACCAAGCCGCCGUAAAAGGCGGCUUUUUUGUUGCC